rnacentral:lncRNA from 1 species
AUUUAUUGAAAUAAACAUUCAUGAGUGUUUUAGAAUAAAUAAAUGUUGAAAAUUUUCACACAUUUGGUGGCAUAGAAUAUUUUUUCAAGAGCAAGUAUUAUAAGAUUAAAAUAAUGAUUUAGUACUUAUUUAUAUGAUGCCAUCAAGAGCCUCUUGAAAUAAAUUCCAAAAUAUUUAGAUAUCCAAAAUCUCAUGUUAUGAGGAAGUUAUAUUGUGCUUGAAGUAUACGUAACUAUAUUUAAUUUUUUAAAAUAUGUAACUAUCUUUUAUAAUAGAGAAGGUUGUUUAAAAAUUAAUUAAUUUUAGUUUUUUAGAAAUAUUUUUAAUAUCUAAAAAAAAUGAUUUAAUAGCGUACUUUAACAAACUCCAUCAAAAAAUAUAGUAAUAGUUAGAAUUAAUGACAUUUAAACUCAAGGUUGUAAUGGUUCUAAUUUUAAAAAGAUAAUAUAAUGUUAAUUAUAUGUAGCAUUCUUUUCUUUUGGUGCAAGAAAAUAUAAUUUGAAAAAGCCAUAACAUUUUCUAAGAUGAUAUGUAAUAUUAAAUACAAUUAUCACAAAGAUAUGUUUUAAAUUACUUAAUAAAAAUUUAAACAUGU